rnacentral:rRNA from 1 species
AUGAAUCUCAUUAGCUGGAACUGCCGGGGAGGGGUGAAUACCCGGACAGUUCGUGAAGUGGCGACCAUGGUACACUCGCAUUCCCCCAUGUUUGUGUUUUUAUGUGAGACUAGGCAAAAGGAGUCCAAGAUGAGAAGAUUGCGUGGCCGACUGGGUCUGAAGGGUUUUGAUGGGGUGGAUAGUAAUGGUUUGAGUGGUGGAUUAGCGUUGUAUUGGCACGAGGCAUGCAUCAUGGAAAUUGUAGACAAGGAGGAAAGAUAUAUUGAUGCACUAGUUCGUCUGAAUGAAGGGGCUAAUCGGUGGAGAAUUAAGUGUGUGUAUGGUGAACCACGGGUUGAAAACCGCCAUAUCAUGUGGUCAAAACUUCAAAAUCUGAAAGAUACAAGUGACCUCCCUAGGCUAGUUGUUGGUGAUUUUAAUGAAGCGCUUUGGGGCUUCGAGCAUAUGUCUGCUAUACCGAGAGUUGAACCUCAAAUGUUAGCCUUUCGGGACACACUGGAGAUGUGCGGACUCAUUGAUCUUGGUAUUGUUGGUACUCCAUUUACAUAUGACAACCAGAGAGUUGGAAAUAAUAAUGUUCGUGUUCGCUUGGAUCGGGCUGUGGCCACAAAUGCAUGGCGCAACAUGUUUGCUUUUACUUCAGUUCUGCACGUCCCCUCACCGUGCUCUGAUCAUGUUGCUGUAGUACUAAAGGGAGCCACUGACCCGGGGCCGACAAAGGUGAAGGCGCGCUGGUAUGAGUUGUUCUAG